UCAGAGCGAACGCUGGCGGCAGGCUUAACACAUGCAAGUCGAACGGGCACUUCGGUGCUAGUGGCAGACGGGUGAGUAACACGUGGGAACGUACCUUUCGGUUCGGAAUAAUUCAGGGAAACUUGGACUAAUACCGGAUACGCCCUUCGGGGGAAAGAUUUAUCGCCGAUAGAUCGGCCCGCGUCUGAUUAGCUAGUUGGUGAGGUAAAGGCUCACCAAGGCGACGAUCAGUAGCUGGUCUGAGAGGAUGAUCAGCCACAUUGGGACUGAGACACGGCCCAAACUCCUACGGGAGGCAGCAGUGGGGAAUAUUGGACAAUGGGCGCAAGCCUGAUCCAGCCAUGCCGCGUGAGUGAUGAAGGCCUUAGGGUUGUAAAGCUCUUUUGUCCGGGAAGAUAAUGACUGUACCGGAAGAAUAAGCCCCGGCUAACUUCGUGCCAGCAGCCGCGGUAAUACGAAGGGGGCUAGCGUUGCUCGGAAUCACUGGGCGUAAAGGGCGCGUAGGCGGACUUUUAAGUCGGAGGUGAAAGCCCAGGGCUCAACCCUGGAAUUGCCUUCGAUACUGGGAGUCUUGAGUUCGGAAGAGGUUGGUGGAACUGCGAGUGUAGAGGUGAAAUUCGUAGAUAUUCGCAAGAACACCGGUGGCGAAGGCGGCCAACUGGUCCGAAACUGACGCUGAGGCGCGAAAGCGUGGGGAGCAAACAGGAUUAGAUACCCUGGUAGUCCACGCCGU
rnacentral:rRNA from 2 species